CGUCGGUCGCCCUCGUGCGCCAACAGCCGCCUCCGACCGGCGGGAAGCACGCGCUGGAUUCCGUGGCAGAAAUUUAAACUUUAACGAUCCCUUAGAUGUGAAAUUAAAAAACAAAUCUUCUUCAAGCUUCACCUGUACGGGAGGGGACGUACACCGGAGGCUCUAACCGGACACCGGACGGAGAUCUGACCGACAAUGUGACGCUGUGGAGCGGCGACGGAGGAUUAUGUGUUCGGUCUGUACCGGAGGCUCUAAAAAUAGGCGAGUUUCGGUGCGCGGAGUGAAGCUGCUGCUCUGAAGAAGUGUUUUGCUCGUUAACGUCUCCGUGGUGGAUUAGGAGCGGAUACCGGAGGAUACCGAGGCUACCGGACCCAGGCUACCGGACCGGGCUGCUCCGGUGGGUGGAUGUUUGGAUGCUGCACUCAAGGACACCUUCUUCUCUUCUUCUGGGCUUCUAACCGGAGCAGGAUUUCUGCACACCGACGUUACCGGAAUUAGAGGCUCCGAGCGGCACUUUCUGUGUGGAUACCGUGGCUCGGCUCGGCUCACCGGACGGCUCCGGUACUUUGGAGCAUCCCGGGGAGGCUGCGGCUCCGUCCGUCCGCCCACCGGCGUCUCUUUUCAGGAUUUAUUCCACCGGCACCUGGAUCCAGUUGGUUUCGGUAUUUUUCUACCCUGACUGCGCGCGCGUCUGUUCAGCUUCUACCGCACACACGCACGCGCGCACAGAAGUCCCCAGAUCGGCUCCGAGCAGCCGGGAGUUGGAUAAGAGCUCCGUUUCUCCCGCCCGCUUUCUGGGCUUUUUGUGAUUUAAAACCGAGACCGGGAGUGAAGGAGGAUUUACCGGGGAGGAGCGGAGCCGCAGAUCGAUGAAGGUGUUGGGAAGGAUUGAUUUUGCCUCCAGAUGACAGACCGGAGAAGUUUCCUCCUCGCUCAGAAGAAGAACGAGGAGAAGAAGCUGCAAGAAUAUUAAAGAAUCCUGAUGCAACCUGUGGACAUCCUUCUUCUCCUUCCUGUUCAGGUGGAGGGCGUCCUCGUUAGCUCCUCGUCCCGUCGUCACCCCAAGGAGGACGGUGAUGUGACCGCACUGAGAAUCCUCCAGAACCUCAGGAAUAACUUUGACGGACAGCCGGCCGAGCCAAUGACAGGCCUUUUGGAUAUUUAACUCGUGCACAGUUUUAACGUGCGCACCUAGAGGACGUGCACGUGAACCCGGAUGAGCGCGGUGAGCAGAGGCCGGCCGCCCUCCCUGACAAAGAGGUAGGUUUUAAUAAUUCUAUAAUCAGCUGAGCCGAUGAUUGCUUCUGACUGGCUCGUUAGCGACGGAUCAGCUCUGAUUGGCUGAUUUUUAACAGCUGAAAAUAUGGUCUCGGCGGUAUUUAACGAGGAAGAACAUUUAAAUUCCAACUAUGAGGUGUUUCUGGACAACAGAAGUUGUGUACAUUCAAUUUACAUCAAUUUACAGAAGUACAGUUUUAACAGAUGGAAUUAUUUGGUCUAUCUGGUGCUAACUGAGGCUAACUUGAGCUCAAAGUCAGUGAUAGUUGCUAACAGGAGAUGAGGAGAUCUUUAUAAGGCUUUGCUAAUUAGAGCAAAUAGGAAUUAACAGAGGCUAAUAGGUGCUAACGGGAGCCAAGUGGACCUAACAGGAAAUAUCUGUAGGUAACAAACACUUACAGAGCUAAAAGGUGCUAACUAAAGCAGAUAGGAGCUAAAAUAUGCUAACAGGAGCCCAUUAAAGCCACCAGAAAUCAGUAGAAGCUAAUAGAAACCAGCAAGAGCUAACAGGAGAUGUCUGUCGCUAACAUGAGCUAAUAGGAUCUGUCGGGGGCUAACAUUAGCUAUCUGAUGCUAUCAGGUGGUAGCUGGAACUUACAAAAAGCUAAUUAGAGUUAACAAGUGCCCAAAAAAAAGAUUUAUUAAGAGCUAACAGGAGAUAUCUGUAGUUCACAAUUGCUAAUAGAAGACCUCAGCUACUUGAUGCUAACUGGAGCUUACAAAUGCUAAUAAGAGGUAACAAAGCUAAAAGGUACCAACAGGAGCUAAGUAGAGCUCAAUGGAUGCUAGAAGGAGCUAACAUAAGCCGAUAGGGUCUACUAGGAGUCACCUGUAACUAACAGGUGAUACUGUAGUUAGCAAGAGCUACUAGGUUCAUCAGGGGCUAACUUAAGCUAUCUGAUGCUAACAGGUGCUAACUGGAGCUUACAAAAGCUAAUUAGAGCAAACAAGAGCCAAAUGAAGCUAAAAAGAGCCAACAUAAGCUCAGCUGAACUGACUACAUGCUCAUAGGAGCAACUAGGAGCUAAGAGGAAAUUCACAAAAGCGGCUAAUAUAGGCUAUAUGGUGCUAACUGGGACUAACAAAUGCAAAUAAGAGCUAACACGACCCAAAUUAAGGUAAAAGGAACCAAUCGGAGCUAACUAGAGCUACAUGGAGCUAACAUACGCUGAGAUACAUGGAGCAAAAGAUGCUAAUAGGACCCAUCAGGAGCUAAUGGAAAAUAUCUGCAGUUAGCAAGAGCAUAAGAAGAUUCAUCAGGGCUAACAUCAGCGAUCUGAUGCUACCAGUUGCUAACUGGAGCAUACAAAUGCUAAUUAGAGGUAAGGAUGCUAAAAAGUACAGCCAUGAGCUAAGCAGAGCUAACUAGAUGCUAAUAGGAGUUAAUGAAAGCUCAUAGGAGCCACUAGGAGCUAACAGGAGAUAUCUGUAGUUCACAAAUGCUAACAGAUGCUUUCAGCUAUUUGAUGCUAACUGCAAAUGCUAAUAAAAGCUAACAGGAGCCAAAUGAAGCCAAAAAGCACCAAUAGGAGCUAACUAGAGCUACAUGGAUCAAAAAUAUGCUCAUAGGUUAUCUGAAGAUAACCUAUCUUCAGAUAUCUGAAGAUAAUGAAUGCUAUUACGAGCUAACAGGAGCCAAAUUAAGCUAAAAGGCAUCAGUUGCCGCUAAUUAGAGCUACGUGGAGCAAAAAUAUGCUAAUAGGUGCCACGAGGAGCUAAUAGAAGAUAUCUGUAGUACACAAAUGCUAAUAGAAACCUCAGUUACUUGAUGCUAACAGGUACUAACUGGACCUUUCAAAUGCUAACAGGAGCCAAAUGAAGCUAAAAGGCACCAAUACGAGCUAACUAGAGCUACGUGGAGCACAAAAUAUGCUAAUAGAUGCCACCAGGAGCUAACAGAAGCUAUGUGAAGGUCUAUUUAAAUGAUUAACAUUGUUUUGAGAAGAAAUAAGUUCAUAUUUUGCUUUUUUUCUUCUCAAUCAGGAAUUCAUUCAUUCUGAAGGGUUUACUGAAGAUGUCGCUCACUAUUUGUUUCUUUUGGACUGGACAAACUAUUGAGUGUGUGUUGUUGGGAAUAAAACGUUAUGUCAGGGUGAGUGGUAUUUAUGAGGCCUGUGGUCUGUCAGUGGCGAGAAUGUAGUGCAGUAUUUGGAAUAAAUAGACCCAGAGACUCUGUCAGCCGUUAAAGCAAGUCGAAUCCACAGCAGAAGACAAAUGACCCCGAAGAGAUUAAUAAGUUUAACUGGGUUGUUCAGGAUGUGACACCGAGACGCCGCUGUAAAAUAUCCUGUUUCCACUCAGUUGGAGCAGGUUUGAUGGAUUAAUGUUGGAUUUCCAUAGUUUGCCGUGUUGUACUUUAAAAAGUCGCCUGUUUAAAUUAAUUCUCUGCUCCAGCAGUAAUUUAAUCAUUUAUCGCUCGCAGUCACUUUUAUCUUGUUUCUGUCUAAUAGAGAUUCAUUAUGAACGGACUUAACAUAGAAAUAAUAAAGCUGCAAAGUUGUGCAGUUUCAGCGGUAUCACAUAAUCUAUCAGGAUUAAUGCUUAAAUCGAGUAAAUGUUGCUUUUCUCAUAGUUUCCACCCAACAGAUUUGUGAGUUGCUGUUGAAUUUUAGGAGAUUUUCCCCCAAAAAAAGGGAAAAAAAAAAAAAAAAAACUUGUCCUGAGUCCUGUUUUCUUGCAAUACCCAGCUUUAGUUUAAAAAAUAAAAGCAGACACUGUGGUUCAUUGUGCCCUCGCAUAAAAUAGAACUUAAACAUGCUAACAAGAGCCAGCUGGAGCUAAAAGGUGCUAACAGCAGCUCUUUGAAGCUAUAGAUAAGCUAAAAGAGAUCACCAGGAGCAAACAGGAGAUGUCUGUUGCUAACAGGUUCCAUCAACGUCUAGUAUUAGCUAUCUGAUGCUAACAAGUGCUAACUAAAGCAGAUAGUAGCUAACUGGAGCUAAGGGGAUGCUAACAGGAGCAGCUAUAGAUAAGCUUAAAGAGGUCACCAAGAGCCAACAGGAGAUAUCUGUCGCUAACAAGAGCUAACAAUAUCCAUCAGAGUCUAACAUUAGCCAUCUGACGCUAACAGGUGCUAACUAAAGCAGUGAGUAGCCAACAUGAGAUAACAAGAGCCAGCUGGACCUAAGGGAAUGCUAACAAGAGCCCCUUGAAGCUAUAUAUACACUAAUAGAGGCCACCAGGAGCUAACAGGAGAUGUUUGUCGCUAACAGGAGCUAACAGGAUCCAUCAGAGUCUAGUAUUAGCUAUCUGACACUAACAUGUGCUAGCAGGUGCUAACUAAAGCAGAUAGUAUCCAACAGGAGAGAGCCAACUGGAGCUAAGGGAAUGCUAACAUGAGCCCUUUGAAGCUAUAGAUAAGUGACCAGGAGCUAACGGAAGAUAUCUGUCAAUAACAGGAUACAUCAGAGUCUAGUAUUAGCUAUCUGACGCUAGCAGGUGCUAACUGAAGCAGACAGUAGCCAACAGGAGAUAACAAGAGCCAGCUGGUGCUAAAAGGUACUAACAUUAGCCCUUUGAAGCUCCCAGAAGCCAAUAGAAGCUAGCAAGUGAUAUCUGUGGCUACCAAGAACUUAAAGGAUCCAUCAGAGUCUAGUAUUAGUUAUCUGACGCUAAAAGGAGCUAACUAAAGCAGACAGUAACCAACAGGCGAUAAUAAGAGCCAACUGGAGCUAAGGGAAUGCUAACAGGAGCCCUUUGAAGCUCCCAGAAGCCAGUAGAAGCUAGCAGGUGAUAUCUGUGGCUACCAAGAGCUUAAAGGAUCCAUCAGAGUCUAGUAUUAGUUAUCUGACGCUAAAAGGAGCUAACUAAAGCAGACAGUAACCAACAGGCGAUAAUAAGAGCCAACUGGAGCUAAGGGAAUGCUAACAGGAGCCCUUUGAAGCUCCCAGAAGCCAGUAGAAGCUAGCAGGUGAUAUCUGUGGCUAACAAGAGCUCAGAGGAUCCAUCAGAGUCUAACAUUGGCUUUCUGAGAGCAACAGGUGCUAACAUAAGCCAAUAAGAGUCAACAAAAGCCAUCUGAAACUAAAGAGUGUCAACAGGAGCUCAGCAGAGCUAACUGGACAUCAGUAGGAGCUAAAAGAAGCUGAUAGGAGCUACUACAUACCACCAGGAGCUAACAAGUAAUAUCUGUUGCUAACAAGAGCUAAUUGGAACCAUCAGGGACUAACUUGAGUUAUCUGAUGUGCUAACUGGAGCUAACAGACACUAAUAAAAACUCACACGAGCCAAGUGAUGCUAAAAAGCCCAAAAAGGAGUUAGCCAGAGUUAAACAGACGCUAGGAGGAGCUAACAGAAGCUGAUAGGAGUUACUAGAAGCCACCUUUAGCUAAAGGGUGCUAACAGGAGCAAACCAGGCCUAACUGAAGCUAACAGACGCUAAUAUGAACUACUAGGUCCCACCAGGGCAGUCAGUAUCUGAAGUUAACAAGAAUUAACAGGAUUCAUCAGAGCCCAACAUGAGCUAUGUGAUGCUAACACAGGAUAACUGGUGCUACUAGAUGCCAAUAAGAGCUAUCAAGGGCCAAAUAAAGCUAAAAGAUGCCUACAAGAGUGAACCAGAGUUAUGCCAAUAGGAGCUAGCUGUAGUCAUUAGGAGCUAAUAGGAGCUAAAAGAGAUUGUCUGUACUUAAGAACAGCUAAUAACUAGCAUAGGCUACCUGAUGCUAACAGGUGCUAACUGGAGCUAAUAGAAGCUAAUAUGAACUAUUAGGAAUUAUCAAGAACUAAUGGCAUCAUUAGGGGAAAAGAUAAGCUACCUGAUAUUGGUACGGGCUAACUGUACCUACGGAAGUGAGCCAGAACUAUGGUAAUAGGACCUAGCUGGAGUCAUUAGGAGCUGAUAGGGAAUUUCUGGAGCUAAUAGAAGUUGUGUUUUUACUUAAGAGCUAAUUGGACCCAUCAGUGGCUAACAUAAGCCACUGAUGGGUGAUGCUAACAGGUGCUAACUGGAGCUAACAGUAGUGAAUAUGAACUGCUAGGAUUAAUCAAGAAUUAAAAGGAUUCAUCAGUGCAACAGGAAUGAACCACAGCUAUGCUAAUAGGAGCUAGCUGUAUUCAUUAGAAGCUAAUAGGGGAUUUCUGGCACUAAUAGAGGUUGUGUUUACUUAAGCAAAGCUAACAGGACUCAUCAGGGGCUAACAUGAGCUACCUGAUGCUAACACACGCUAACUGUAGCUACAGGAGUGAACAAGAGCUAUGCUAAUAGGAGCUAGCUGUCGUCAUUACGACCUAACAGGGGAUUUCUGGAGCUAACAGAAGUUAUGUUUACUUAAGCAAAGCUAAUAGGAUCCAUCAGGGGCUAACAUAAGCUACCUGAUGCUAAGACAGACUAACUGUAGCUACAGGAGUGAACCAGAGCUAUGCUAAUAGUAGCUAGCUGGAGUCAUUGGGAGCUAAUAGAAAUUAUGUUUACUUAAGCGGUAAUAGGACCUUUCAUGGGCUAACAUAAGCUCCCUGAUGUUAACAGGUGCUAACUGGAGCUAACAGAUGACCUACUAGGAGUUAUCAAGUACUAAUAGUAUUCAUUAGUGACUAACAUAAGCUACCUGAUGCGAACACAAGCUAACUGUAGCUACAGGAGUGAACCAGAGCUAUGCCAAUAGUAGCUAGCUAUAGUCAUUAGGAGCUAAUACUGGAUUUCUGGAGCUAACAGACGUUAUGUUUACUUUAACAGUGCUAGCAGAAGAAGCCUUUUUUUAUGGGUUAACGCUCAUAAAUCUGUAGCUCCAGCGGCCCGAUCGUGACCCCACUGAAGGCUUUUAUUCGCCAUCAUAAUCGAAGAAGAAAACAUUUGAAAUGGCUCGCAAUUACAGCGAGCAUCAGUGUGUGCGUGUGAGACAGCGGCGGAGGCUAAUGCAGCCUUAAUAGCCACAUUUAAUCCUUUGUUCUGACUGGAUCAUUUGAAGUGACUCCGACAAGCAAAUAGCUCCAUUAGGUAGCUAUAGAUCUCAUAACACACUCACACACACACCUACACACCACUGUUUCAUUAAUUCACACUCAUAUCUGUCCGAGUGCCGUCCAGGACUCUCCCAUCGCAGAUAAUUUGCUGCUGCAGGAGUUUGCAGCAGCAGUCUGACAGGCAUGAGCUGAGUAAUCAGGACAGACGAGAGCCACGAUAACGAGAGCCACGGUAACGAGAGCCACAGUAACGAGAGCCACGGUAACGAGAGCCACGGUAACGAGAGCUCCAAUAACGAGAGCUCCAACAGAGCCCCUAAUGACCAAACAGCAGAAGGAGGACUCACCUGCUCUGAUGGAAACUCACCUGAAAAGGAGAACAUUUCAGAAAUUCUUCCUGUUCUUCCAGAGCAGCUCCAUAAUGAACUCAUAAAUAGUCUCCAUUAAGCCUCCGUGUAGCAGCAGAUCUCUGCAGAGCAGCUGGGCAGAAGGCUGAAGGUGUUUUCAUCAUCACUACCUCCAUUAUACACCGUUCUGCUGCUGAACAUCCCUCUGGAACCUCAGACACUAACCACAAAGUCAGUGCAGCAAAAUGCAGCUUUUCCUGCUGACGUGUUGGUUAGAAAACCUUCAGAAAUGAACUAGACACAAAAUGGUGCAAACAAGACACAAAAUGACACAAAUGAGACACAAAAUUAUGCAAAUGAGACACAAAAUGACACAAAUGAGACAAAAUUAUCCAAAUGAGACACAAAAUUUCAGAAACAAGACACAAAACGACACAAGACACAUGAAAGUUAGAUGAGACACAAUUAUGACAUCAUACAUAAACAAUCCAACCAAUUUUAAACAAUUCUUCUAAACGACUGCAUUUUUAAUCUCUAAUUUUUUUUUUAAACCUACGUCAUAUCGUAGACAUUUUACUCAUUUUUAACAGCUUGGAUAUCUCUGCUACUCAGUUCUACAAACUCUGUUCUACUAAACUAGACACAAAAUGAUGCAAACAAGACAAAAAUAUACAAAAUUAUGGAAACGACACAAAAUGACACAAAAUUACGCAAAUGAGACAGAAAAUGACGCAAAACACAAAAUUAUGCAAAUGAAACACAAAAUGACACAACCGAGACACAAAACUUAAAGAACAAGACAAAAAAUUACACAAAAUUAUGCAAAUGAGACACAAAAGGACACAAAGUUGUGUAAAUUAGACACAAAAAUGACACAACCGAGACAAAAAACAUAACAAACAAGGCACAAAAUUACACAAAAAGACAAAAAAAUAUGCUAAAUUAUGGAAAUGAGACACAAAAUGACACCAACAAUACACAAAAUUAUGCAAAAUUAUACAAAUGAGAGUCAAAAUGACACAAAGUCAUAAAAUGACACAAAUUAUGCAAAUGAGACAAAAAGUUCUAAAGAUUCACAUUAAAAAAUUCUAGAAACUUUGGAGUUAAUUAAAGAGAGCUGGAUGGAAGUCAUUAACCACCAUUGAAGUCUUUGUCAUGGUGCCCGUUUUUAGCUAAACUCUAAAAGUCUUACAUCUCAAUAAACAUUAAGAGGCUUCAUUUAUCUUGAACAUCUCUAUCAAAUCCCUGAAACUAACACAUAAAGGUCAUAAAUAAAGUGAUUUCCCUCUGUCUGAUCUGAAUCCUCUAAACUCCUAACGAAGCCCGGGUCACCGUAUCGUUUAAUGUCAGCAGCUUUCCACGCUCUCGCUGAACGUUUCUGCUGCCUGAGCAUAAAAUAAUAAAAUAAACUGAGUCCAGGAGUUGUGCUGUUGAACAAAGCUCCAGUUUGUCAAUUAUAAUAGAAGAGUGGUGAUUCAGCAGCAGCAGACGGAGGAGCGAAUAAAGUCCUGGUGUGUCCUGCCCAGUGGUAGCAGUGUUUCAAUGAGACACAAAACGACACAAACGAGACACGAAACGACACAAACGAGGCACGAAACGACACAAACGAGACACAAAUGAGACACAAAACGACACAAACGAGACACAAACGAGAUACAAAACGAGACAAACGAGACACAAAACGACACAAACGAAACAUAAAAUGACAAAAACGAUAAAAAUGAGACACAAAACGACAAAAACGAGACACAAAACGACACAAACUAGACAUAAAAUGACAAAAACGAUAAAAAUGAGACAAACGAGACACAAAACGACACAAACAAGACACAAAACGAUACAAAUGAGACAUAAAAUGACACAAACGAGACAUAAAAUGACACAAACGAGACAUAAAAUGACAAAAACGAUAAAAAUGAGACAUAAACGAGACACAAAACGACAAAAAUGAGACACAAAACGACACAAACGAGACAUAAAAUGACAAAAACGAUAAAAAUGAGACAUAAACGAGACACAAAACGACAAAAAUGAGACACAAAAUGACACAAACGAGACAUAAAAUGACAAAAACGAUAAAAAUGAGACAUAAACGAGACACAAAACGACAAAAAUGAGACACAAAACGACACAAACGAGACAUAAAAUGACACAAACGAGACACGAAACGACACAAACAAGACACGAAACGACACAAACGAGACACGAAACGACACAAACGAGACACAAAACGACACAAACGAGACACAAAUGAGACACAAAACGACACAAACGAGACACAAACGAGAUACAAAACGAGACAAACGAGACACAAAAUGACACAAACAAGACACAAAACAACACAAACGAGACACAAAAUGACACAAACGAAACACAAAAUGACAAAAACGAUAAAAACGAGACAUAAACGAGACACAAAACGACAAAAACGAGACACAAAACGACACAAACGAGACAUAAAAUGACAAAAACGAUAAAAUGAGACAUAAACGAGACACAAAACGACAAAAACGAGACACAAAACGACACAAACGAGACAUAAAAUGACAAAAACGAUAAAAACGAGACAUAAACGAGACACAAAACGAGACACAAAACGACAAAAACGAGACACAAAACGACAUAAACGAGACAUAAAAUGACACAAAAGAGACACAAAACGACACAAACGAGACAUAAAAUGACAAAAACGAUAAAAACGAGACAUAAACGAGACACAAAACGACAAAAAUGAGACACAAAACGACACAAACGAGACAUAAAACGACAUAAACGAGACACAAAACGAGACAAACGAAACACAAAACAACACAAACGAGACACAAAACGACAAAAACGAGACACAAAAGAGACACAAAAUUACGUACACGAGACACAAAAUGAGACAUCUGACAGAUCGUUUCCAUGUAGUUUCUUGUUUUAUCUAUUUUUUUCCAUAUUUUACGUAUCCAGGCUCCAAACUGAGCUUUAUUGAGGCGAUGCAGCAAAGAUAACGACUAGAUUAAUAUAAAUAAAUUCAUUUUUGACCAUUUAAUAAAGAAAACAUCCAAUAUUCUUCAGUAAAUGAGCCCUUAAUUAAAUAAACUCGUUAGAAACAUUGAUUUAUUUCCCAUUUUCUUCAUUCUUUCCAUGUUGAAGGUGUUAUUUUAUUUCCUCUCUCUUUAAAGACUUUUCUAAUGAGUUCUUUGUCUUCCUGCUGUUUAACUCAUUUGCUUCACUCUGUUGUGUUUAUUUUGGGUUUUUUUAGUUGAAUAUUCUCUUUAAACGUGAGCGGUUGCCAGCGGCGAUAGCGUUCCUCCAGUGUUUCCGUCUGCGUUCCAGCGAUAGACCUUCCUGGCGUUUCAUUAUCAUUUAAUUGGCAGCGGAGUCUAUAAAUGCACGUUUAUUAUUUAACGGCGUCUGAAUGUGUUUCAGAAAUAAGAAGCUCUCCUCUUACGCUUUAUUAAAGUGGAAACUCCGGCCGCUUUUCAUAAAUAUUUACUGCUGGCCUCAGAACGGAUUGAAGGAAUGAUAAUGAGGAGAACUAAGCUGAAAGUUGGAGCAAAAACCAAACUGCUCUCAGAGAAAUGAGAGUUUCAGCUUUCACUGGGAAGAAAAAACAAAGUUUCAGAUGUUUUGUUCCACAGAAACGUCCUUUAAUCAACAGCUGAAGCUGAAAAUAUAAAAUGGAUUCCUCGGCUAGUUGUCAGAAUUUACAAAUUUAUAAAGAAAAGAAGCUUUAAGCUGAGAUCUGCUGUUAGUUUAUCAGAACAAAGAAAACUCUGAUAUUAGCAGUGAAAAACCAAACAAAUCUAGUUUAAAAAAAGAAGACAGAUUUUUACUCAUGAUUUUAUCUAUAAUCACUAUCAAACAGGGAAAACCGGUAUAAUACCUGUUUUUCUUUCCAAAAAAUGUUAUUUAAAAUGUAAAUUUUUACUGUAUCUUAAAGUCACUACAGGGAACUGUUGUUUUUCAUAUUUUCCGAUUAAUGAGUCAUUUUAGUCAAUUAUCUAGUUACUUUGGUCAAUUAUUGAGUCAUUUUUUAAUAAUUAUUGAGUCAUUUAAGACAAUUAUUGAGUAAUUUUGAAGAAUUAUUUU